CAAGGAGCGAAGCCCGUCGCCGGUUUUGAAGUGGCGCGGGGCAGACGGGCGGGGGCUCCAGCAGCGGCCUGAUCCUUCUUAGUUGGUGACCCAUCGGUGUCCCGAACCUUCAGUCCGCCCGGUCCUGGGUCUCGUCUAGGUUACCCCGGCCCAGCGUCUUCGGGAGGGACAAGCGGGCCCGGGCCGGGCCGGGCCGGAACCAAAGCUCGGAGGAGGCCGAGGCCGUAGUGCUCUCCGAGCCUCCCCGCUGUGUCAUCUCCCUCGCGCUCGCUCUCUCCUUUCUUUUUUUCUUUUCUUUCCUUUUUUUUCUUGGGCAUUCUCAAGUUGCGUUGUCAUUGGAAGGGGGGAGAGAGAGGCAGCUCAGAGUGCACCGAAAUGGCCACCGAGCUCGACUUUCUGAAACAACAAAGUCAGAGACUAAAUGCAAUGCGUAGGCAAUAUCAAAUGGAAAAUUCUUCUAAAUAUUUACCUGAACAGAAAACUGUCUUACAAGGAGAUGGAGACAGUAUAUCAGACAUCACUAUGGUUGACAAAAGUUUUUUAGCUCCCCUUCUUGCUGAGUAUGAUAAAUAUCUAGAAGAGGUGAAUGGGCAUCUAGAGUAUUAUCAGAUACAAGUUUAUGAGAUGAGACUACAACUUGAAAACAUCACUAAAGAAAAUGAAAGGUUGCAUCGUGAACUAAAAGAAGCUGUUGAAAAGCAAAUAGAGGCCCUUCCCUCUAGUACUUUCAUGAGCACUGAUCUUUAUGCAGAUGAAGAAAUGGUCAAGAACCUACAAGAGCAGUUACAACUAGCUAAUAAAGAAAAAAAUCAGGUUACAGAACUCUGGCAGACAGUUUCACAGGAGUUGGAGAGACUACAGAAAGCCUAUCAAGAUCAUAUGAAUGAUACCCAAAUUUAUAUAGUUGAAAGACAACGACAAAAGAAUCAGCUGACUAACUUUAAGCAACUGACACAACAACUUCAUGUAGCUAAUGAGAACAUAGAAAUGACUAACCAACAGUUUCUGAAAACAGUAACUAUGCAGAAUGUGGAAAUUGAGCAACUACGCAAACAACUUAGGCAAACCAAAUUAGACCUCAGAAUUGCUACAACGAAAGUGACAGAAAUGACUAAGUUAAUCGAAGACCUUCAAGGACAGAUGGAAAAAAAGGUGCAAGAUAUGAAAUCUGCCCAAGGAAAAGAGGAAGCAUCAGACAAGCGAUUAUACCAGUUACAGUCUAGCAUAAAACAGCUAGAAGCAAGGUUAUGUGCAGCAAUCCAAGAAGCUGACCAACUAAAAAUAGAAAAAGCUAAUCUGGAAAAACAGACCAAAGAUCUUCAAGUAAAAUGUGUUGGCUUAGAAAAUGAGAAGUAUGAAGCAAUUCUAAGAGCCAGGGACAGCAUGCAGCUCUUAGAAGAAGCCAAUCUUCAGAAAAAUCAGGCAUUGCUUGAAGAGAAACAAAAAGAAGAAGAUAUUAAGAAAAUGAAAGAAACAAUUUCUCAACUUGUUCAAGAGGCUGCUGUGCGAACCAGAAAAGAAGUGGCAAAUAUAAAAAAACAGUAUCAUUUACAGAUUUCUCAAUUAACAGAAGAACUUUCUGCACUUCAAAUGGAAUGUGGAGACAAACAGAGCCAAGUUGAAUGGGCUAUUAGAGAAAAGCGGGCAGUGGAAGAAGAACUAGAAAAGAUUUAUCGAGAAGGCAGAGGAAAUGAAGGUGAUUGUAGGAAGCUAGAAGAUAUGCACCAAAGGUGCAUAAAUGCGGAACAUAACAUGGAUAAUCUUCAGUUACAACUUAAGACAGCACAAAACAGAAUUAAACAACUUGAGAUAAGUUCUGAAGAAGAGAUGUCACGUAGCCGGGAAAGGAUUCAAAAGCUUCAGGACGUUUUAGAGUCUGAAAGAAAGAACUGUGGCACUGUCAGUGAACAAAGACUGAAACUUCAGCAAGAAAAUGAACAGUUGCAAAAAGACACUGAGAAUUUGAGAAAAAUUGCUUUGGAGGCUCAACAAAAAGCCAAAUUAAAGAUCAGCACAAUGGAACAUGAAUUUUCAGUAAAGGAGCAUGGAUUUGAAAUUCGUUUGAGAGAGCUGGAAGAUAGUAAUCACAAUUCCACUGUUGAAUUGAGACGUCUAUUAGUAGCUCAACAGAAGGCAACCAGCCGAUGGAAAGAUGAAACAAAAAAGAUUACAGAAGCUGCAGAAACUAGAAUUAGCAACUUAAAAAUUGAACUGAAUCAACAGAAACUUCAUACCCAAGAAUUGCUUUCUCAGCUGGAAGCAGCAAAUGAAAAGGUAGUUGAGAAUGAAAAGAUAAUUAUGGAACAUCAAGAAAAAACCAACAGACUUCAGAGACGCCUGAGUCAGGCAGAACAGAGAGCAGCUUCAGCCUCUCAGCAGCUCAGUGUGAUUACAGUACAGAGAAGAAAAGCAGCCUCCAUGAUGGAUCUGGAAAAAAUUUAAAAAUAUGCAUCGUUCAUUCACAUCCCUUUAGAGUUGGGAAAGCUGUCAGAGUAGCUGUAUAUUGGAAUGGUAAAGCCUGAAGCAUAUGCUUAGGCUUGUGUCAUUGUGCAUAAGCAGUUUCCUGUUUGGGGGGAUAGGAAAGCCAAACAGUGACAUCUUCACAAAAGAGGAGACAUUGAGGAUACUAACAGGAGAGAGAAAAAGGAAAUGAAAAGCAAAUGGCGACACACAAAUAAUUCAUUUUAUUUACUCAUGUUACUUUAUUGUGUCUCUCUGAAGGAAGAAAGAAGAUAUGAUUACCUCCUUUUCCUCUAUAGAUGAAUAUUCUAAUCAGAGUAAGCGACGGACUUGGGACUAACGGCUCUUCUGAGGCCACGUGAUAAGGCUGCCCACUCGGGGUGAAACACCUCACUUACCCGGCAUCCAUCGAGUGGGGGCAGGAAUUGUACAUUCCACAAACACGAGCCGCCGCCCGGCCAGGAAACCGCGGGAAACCACUCACGGGCGCGGGCGCCCUUUUCUCUCACCAGCAGGGCCUUCGUGGGCGAGCCCUGGAUUCCCUUUUGGCGCGGGCGCUAGCGAGCGACUAAGCAGCUGCGGGGACCGGCUGGCCGGGCGUCGGCCUUACCGACCUGUCAGAGAUGCCCCGCCCCGCAGCCCCGCCGGGACGGGACGUCCGGCCCGGGAGCUCUCGGCGGCCGGGCCCAGCUCCCGGCACGUGCACGCGCUUGGCAAGUGGAAGGCCCCGAAGCGUUGCUUCACGCCGGGAAGCCCCAGCCCGGGUCCGAGAGAGCCCUUCUCCGCACCUCCCCCCGCAAAACUCUUGUCGGAGCCCUUCCAGCCCGCGGGCCUCCGGGAAGCAAAAGCUGCGGAGAGGCCGCCGGCUCCCGGACCCACGGGGCCCACACGUCCCGGAAGGAAGGGCCGACACGGUCCCGAAAGGAACGCCCGCGGGGCCGGGAGUGGGCGGGCAGGCAGAUAGCCCUGCGAAGUGCUUCGGGAAGCGGGGAAGGCGUCCGCCCUCCCGGGGGAGAAGGAGACCCCUGCAAGGAAACCGAACCCGGCUGGCCCUGCCCCCGACGUGAGGGGGGCGCUGGCGCGGAAGAGGGAGGAAUCGGAAGCCUGCUCCGGCCACCGGGCCGCCCCCCUCCUCCCCCACCCGGCCCGUCAGGCGCCGGGCCCGGCCUUGCUAACCCCGUCUGUGAAGGUCCGUCCGCGAACGGCCUGGCCCAGAGUCCUGGCUGCUCUCAGCUGGCUCAGCCUCAGAGACCAGCGAAAACGACGUGGGAGAAGGCGCCCUCACCGUCCGCUCUCUGGCCCCAAGGGCUUCCGGCCCCUGGCCACCGAACCGCCUCCUGUCACCGCCAGAAUGGGAGCUCCUUGCGAGGGGGACUGUCUUUCUGCUGGGGUCCCCCGUGCUUGAUACGGAACUAAUACUAAGCACCCAAUAAAGGCUUUUCUUUCAUUCAGUUGAAAAAUGGAGCUUCUAGUGCCCUCCCUUAUCUACCUCCCAGAAUUAUUUGAGUGAACUCAUGGGAUUACAUGUGUGAAAGCUUUGGAAACUAUCACUACUUGUAACAAUAAUAAACAAUAAUAACAAAUACGCAGUAUUUCAUAGCCGCUCCUUGGUCACAAAUAUCCACUUGACCCUAACCAUCAGCAUCAUUGUGGUCAUUUCACGAAUAGACAUCCUACCGUGUUACGUAGCUACAACUUCAACAUUUUACCCGAAUUAGCUACUUACAAAGGACAUGUUGCAGAAAGAAAUAAUAUUUUGACAUUAUUGCUGUAAAUGAAAACAAAAGAGAAAAAAGUUAUAGCGAAAUGAAAGGGUGGCUCACAAUGUCAUCUUGGAGAGAGGCAGAUUGGUGAAUUUGUCUUGUCAUUUCCAAAGGCAACAGGAAAUGUCAUUUCAUGGCACAUUUAAUCAUCCCAUAUCGCACUGAUCACGAAAAGUAUUGGUAAAAAUUAUUGCGGUUUACCCAUCUUACAUCUGUAGAGAAUGAAGAAGGAAAGAAAUUCUUCCAAAAACUUGAUAAGAUACUCCAAAUUAAAUAAAAAUAUUUUGAUAUCUGCUCACUGAAUGCAAUUGUUAUAGUAUGUGUAGGUAGUAAGAAAUGUAAUGAAAAACAUAGUUUAUAUAGCAUAGCCAAAAGACUAAAAUAUACAAAACCUCAUGUCUAUAUAUCACUGACACUUUCUUUUAAAAAAGGAAUGGAAGUAAGAUAUGAUGAGCUCCUAACAACAUAACAAAAAAUUAAAUCGAUUAUCUUUUAAUAGUCAGGAAAAAGGUUAUUACUUACGUAGUAAUAAUAGUGAAUUGUCUGCGUUUGAUUAAGCCAUCAGUGUCAGAGGAAAGAUCAAAAUACAAAAUCAGGAUGAAAAUGAGAAAAUAUUCAUGUGCAAUAGAAAGAACUUAUCCUAUUUUAUUCAGAUUUUUAUGAUGAAAAAUAUACAGGUGGAAGAAAGGAUAUAGUUAGAGAGUAUAUUGCUUCAUAAUUUGUUCUGUUUAAGGAAGGAAGGGAGAGAUUAGAAUUUAGUCUAACCUGUGAUUUCAAUGAUAUACAGAGCUCAUGGUUGAGUAAAUCCCUUCCACCAAUGCAGAUCAUCAAUUCUUUUACAACUUAGAAGAAAGUUGCCUGGGACACUGAGAAGUUAAGCGACUUAUCCUGGGUCUCAAAGUGUAACUUACUCAUUUUCUAACUCCAGGACCAGUCUUAAAACUGCUUUGCUAAGUUGUCUCUCAAAACUUUAACCAAUGUAAACAUUUUUAAAUAAAAUGUUUUUAAUUGAUA